rnacentral:rRNA from 1 species
CGAACGGAACUAUACCGACGAGAGUCUUCGGAAAGGAAUUGGUUUAGUUUAGUGGCGGACGGGUGAGUAACGCGUGGGUAACCUGCCCUGUACAGGGGGAUAACAGCUGGAAACGGCUGUUAAUACCGCAUAAGCGCACAGGAGCGCAUGCUCCGGUGUGAAAAACUCCGGUGGUACAGGAUGGACCCGCGUCUGAUUAGCUGGUUGGCGGGGUAAGGGCCCACCAAGGCGACGAUCAGUAGCCGGCCUGAGAGGGUGAACGGCCACAUUGGGACUGAGACACGGCCCAAACUCCUACGGGAGGCAGCAGUGGGGAAUAUUGCACAAUGGGGGGAACCCUGAUGCAGCGACGCCGCGUGAGCGAAGAAGUAUUUCGGUAUGUAAAGCUCUAUCAGCAGGGAAGAAAAUGACGGUACCUGACUAAGAAGCCCCGGCUAACUACGUGCCAGCAGCCGCGGUAAUACGUAUGGGGCAAGCGUUAUCCGGAUUUUACUGGGUGUAAAGGGAGCGCAUGCCGGCGCGGCUAAUCUGAUGUGAAAAGCCCGGGGCUCAACCCCGGGACUGCCUCCGCAACUGUCGUGCUGGAGUCUCGGNGGUUAAACCUACAUUCCUAGUGUAGCGGUGAAAUGCGUAGUUCUUUUGGAAAACACCAGUGGCGAAGGCGGCUUGCUGGACGACAACUGACGCUGAGGCUCGAA